rnacentral:rRNA from 1 species
GAUGAACGCUGGCGGCGUGCCUAAUACAUGCAAGUCGAGCGAACAGACGAGGAGCUUGCUCCUCUGACGUUAGCGGCGGACGGGUGAGUAACACGUGGAUAACCUACCUAUAAGACUGGGAUAACUUCGGGAAACCGGAGCUAAUACCGGAUAAUAUAUUGAACCGCAUGGUUCAAUAGUGAAAGACGGUUUUGCUGUCACUUAUAGAUGGAUCCGCGCCGCAUUAGCUAGUUGGUAAGGUAACGGCUUACCAAGGCAACGAUGCGUAGCCGACCUGAGAGGGUGAUCGGCCACACUGGAACUGAGACACAGUCCAGACUCCUACGGGAGGCAGCAGUAGGGAAUCUUCCGCAAGGGGCGAAAGCCUGACGGAGCAACGCCGCGUGAGUGAUGAAGGUCUUCGGAUCGUAAAACUCUGUUAUUAGGGAAGAACAAAUGUGUAAGUAACUAUGCACGUCUUGACGGUACCUAAUCAGAAAGCCACGGCUAACUACGU